ACUCUUCAACCCACCAGUUUCUAGUGAACUGUUGUGGUGUUUGGAUUUUGAGCGUUGCUAGUCUGACUAGCUCGUUCGUAAUAUAUGAGCAUCUCUAAUUCGAAUUCGGAUUGACUCAGUGUAAUAGACUAUUCGCUGAGGACACUUUUAUUAGUGGCCGGACUAGAAACCAGUAGAAGCUUCCAACUAUUGUAGUCAUUUCUAU
rnacentral:misc_RNA from 1 species